rnacentral:pre_miRNA from 1 species
ACCACUGAGCUAAAUCCCCAGCCCUCAAAAAAUUUUUCUAAAUAAAGUUAUGAGAGGGCUGGGGAUUUAGCUCAGUGGU